rnacentral:rRNA from 1 species
GACGAACGCUGGCGGCGUGCCUAAUACAUGCAAGUCGAGCGCGUGAAACUAACGGAUCCCUUCGGGGUGAARGUAGUGGAUCGAGCGGCGGACGGGUGAGUAACACGUGGGCAACCUGCCUGUAAGACUGGGAUAACUCGCGGAAACGCGAGCUAAUACCGGAUAAUACUUUUUAUCACAUGGUAAGAAGAUGAAAGGCGGCGYAAGCUGUCRCUUACAGAUGGGCCCGCGGCGCAUUAGCUAGUUGGUGAGGUAACGGCUCACCAAGGCGACGAUGCGUAGCCGACCUGAGAGGGUGAUCGGCCACACUGGGACUGAGACACGGCCCAGACUCCUACGGGAGGCAGCAGUAGGGAAUCUUCCGCAAUGGACGAAAGUCUGACGGAGCAACGCCGCGUGAGUGAUGAAGGUUUUCGGAUUGUAAAACUCUGUUGUUAGGGAAGAACAAGUACAAGAGUAACUGCUUGUACCU